rnacentral:rRNA from 1 species
AGCUCCAAUAGCGUAUAUUAAAGUUGUUGCAGUUAAAAAGCUCGUAGUUGGAUUUCUGGUGGGAGCGUUGGGCCGGCCCUAAGGGUCUGUGCUCAAAUGUUUUCCGCCAUCCUUGAGUGGAACUUUUCUGGCAUUAAGUUGUCGGGAUUGCUAAACUCAUCAUUUACUGUGAAAAAAUUAGAGUGUUCAAAGCAGGCUUAUGCCGUUGAAUACAUUAGCAUGGAAUAAUAAGAUAGGACCCUGGUACUAUUUUGUUGGUUUGCGUACCUAGGUAAUGAUUAAUAGGGACAGUUGGGGGUAUUUAUAUUCCGUUGUCAGAGGUGAAAUUCUUGGAUUUACGGAAGAUAAACUACUGCGAAAGCAUUUACCAAGGAUGUUUUCAUUA